rnacentral:lncRNA from 1 species
GAUCAGCCAUUUUUUGUGAUGGAGAACAAACAAAACCCUUGAAAUCGAUCUUCUUCAACCUAGAGUAUAGGGCAACACUUAACUUAGCCAUUUUUCUGAUUUUGGACAAUAGACAAGAGCUUCAGCUCUUCUUCUUCAUGAAGAUUGAACAAAACCAGAACCUUGAAGACUUCUAGGAGAGAUAUCAACGACAGAACACUAAAGAGGACCCCCAGACUUGGACCCCUAACGCCUAAGGACAAAACCAGCCGUUGAACGACAGAACCCCACCCCCUAAAGAUCAUCUUCUUCGUCACCCCUCUCCUAUCGAUUCCUCAUCUUCUUCAGAUAAGAAAUAGCCAGCUUCCAUGGUUUCUUAACAGAGAACACACAAACACAGCCUUCCCUCGUCCAAACAAUACCCCCUUUUUCUUCUUCUCUUCACACCCCAUCAGCUUCUUCUUCUUUAACAGAGGUGAACUCGCCGAAAACGCCGUAACACACACACACAAAUGCACAAAUAGUAGAGAGGACAUGGAGUUGACAACCUCAAACCACCCCAAAUAGUCCAUUUCCAUGACUGUUUCGGUGCCAAGUAUUGACGUUUUGAGUUUGUCGAGGUCCAGGGCGCCGAGGUUUCUGUUCCCAAACGUUUUCAGAUUCAAGAGUUGUUGCUUUCAAGGUGCACAUCACAAAUCUGUAUUGUACUUUGAUUUGCAAGAAAACGUUGCUUAUUUUGUCUAAAUUCGUUUAGCGUGAUUGGCUGAAUCUGCUUCCAUCUUGUUUUAAACAUAAGCAGAAUGUUUAGUUUGAUUUAGUUAAUUCCUAAAACAUGGGCAUUAUCUUGUUUGAAUUAAAUGAGUACUUUGAUAUAUGUUGUGUUUGGAGAUGACAUUUUCAAGGGUGUUGUAAGCUGCUGUGUGUGUGUUGAAUUUUUCCGGCAAAAUCUCUUGAAACUCGAAGAAAUAUGAAUUAUUUGAAUUUGUGUUUGGUAUAGUUAAUGGGAUAAGUCUACAUUGGAAUGUUAGAUUAAUCACGGUAAAAUUGUGUAUUCCCUGUGUGUAUUUAACACUUUAAGCUUGAAGGCUUGAAGGAGGGUAUUUUUGCCAAGCAGUUGCCUUGUUACUUGCUCGAGCCAAUUGCUACAAAAAGAUGGGUGUUUCAAUAUGCUUUCUUAAGGGACUUGUUACAGGUAGUCCAAUAUGUUUCAAGGGAUGCAUUGAUACGUCUGGG